rnacentral:rRNA from 1 species
UACGUAGGCAGCAAGCGUUGUUCGGAGUUACUGGGCGUAAAGGGUGCGUAGGCGGCUUUUAAGUUUGGUGUGAAAUCUCCCGGCUCAACUGGGAGGUGCGCCGAAUACUGAGAGGCUAGAGUGCGGGAGAGGAAAGUGGAAUUCCUGGUGUAGCGGCGAAAUGCGUAGAUAUCAGGAGGAACACCGGUGGUGUAAACGGCUUUCUGGACCGUAACUGACGCUGAUGCACGAAAGCGUGGGUAGCAAACAGG